rnacentral:lncRNA from 1 species
CCAGAUAUCACUAGACAAUGUUUCCAAGGAUGUGUAGGCCAUUAGUCCAGCAUUGUUGCAUUUUGGCCUCCAGUUUUUCUUCACAUUCUUUCUUUUAUGGUCUUGUGAUUUGUGUUCAGAUUGAUCAAGAUAACCAUGCAACUUAAAACAGAAAGGUCUUAUAUGGCCUUUUCUCCUGCAGUAGUGACAUAUGCAAGUGAUAGUUUUUUUUUUUGCUAGGAUAGUGUUGUUUUUCAGGAUUUUUGAUGGG